CGUAAACGAUGAACACUAGGUGUCGGGGGAAUCGACCCCCUCGGUGUCGUAGCCAACGCGUUAAGUGUUCCGCCUGGGGAGUACGCACGCAAGUGUGAAACUCAAAGGAAUUGACGGGGGCCCGCACAAGCGGUGGAGUAUGUGGUUUAAUUCGAUGCAACGCGAAGAACCUUACCAGGGUUUGACAUCCUGCGAACCCCCUGGAAACGGGGGGGUGCCUUCGGGAACGCAGUGACAGGUGGUGCAUGGCUGUCGUCAGCUCGUGUCGUGAGAUGUUGGGUUAAGUCCCGCAACGAGCGCAACCCACGUCGUUAGUUGCCAGCAUUCAGUUGGGCACUCUAGCGAGACCGCCGGUGAUAAACCGGAGGAAGGUGUGGAUGACGUCAAGUCAUCAUGCCCCUUACAUCCUGGGCUACACACGUACUACAAUGCUACGGACAAAGGGCCGCAAGCUCGCGAGAGUUAGCAAAUCCCAUAAACCGUGGCUCAGUUCAGAUCGUAGGCUGCAACUCGCCUACGUGAAGGAGGAAUCGCUAGUAAUCGCAGGACAGCAUACUGCGGUGAAUACGUUCCCGGGCCUUGUACACACCGCCCGUCACACCAUGGAAGUUGGCCACGCCCGAAGUCGUUACUCCAACCCGUAAGGGAGGAGA
rnacentral:rRNA from 1 species